GGAGUUAGUCGGGGCUUGUUGCUUUGCAAGCCAGAGGUCGCCGGUUCGAGCCCGGCUGACUCCA
rnacentral:tRNA from 1 species